rnacentral:RNase_P_RNA from 1 species
UCAGUCGGCCGGGCGGCCGCGCCGGCGCCGGCCGAAAGGCCGCCGGCGAGGAAAGUCCGGGCUCCGGGAAACACGAUGCCGGCUAACGGCCGGCGGGGGCGACCCCAGGGAAAGUGCCACAGAAAGCAGACCGCCCCGCCUGCUGACCGGCCGCAUGAGGCAGCCGGUGAGCCGGCGGGGCAAGGGUGAAAGGGUGGGGUAAGAGCCCACCGCGCGACUGGCAACAGGAGCGGCACGGCAAACCCCAUCGGGAGCAAGACCGAAUAGGGACGGCGCGAAGGGAAACCUUCAGGCAGUUUCCGGCCAGCCGUCCGGGUAGGUUGCAUGAGGCGGGCGGCAACGUCCGUCCCAGAUGAAUGGCCGCCACGUUGCGUCGCCUUCGGGCGGCGCGGCCAUACAGAACCCGGCUUACAGGCCGGCUGACGCU